ensembl:lncRNA
UAGAGACGUCGGACUGCAAUCUGACCCGUGUGGAGGCCAAAAACAAAAUAACAGCCUGCUCCAUUCAGGUUCAGGACCUCAUUUGCCUGUGCUCUGCUUUCCUGAGAGCCCAGAGUGACUGAUUGCAGACCCUGGACUUCUGCAGGAUUAAACUAACAGAACCUCCCUCCCAUCAUAAUGAAUAAUGAAUGGAUGAUUGGCUGGCUGGAUGGAUGAAGACGUGAAUGUACCUGGAGAUGCAACAAUGCUUCACCAACCCACUGAUAGACUGUGCCCUGAACAGACCUCAUUUUGAAAAUGACGACAAACUUUUCAAAAGCAGCAGACAAUGACAUACAUCAAUGACCAAGGUAAAACUUCAAGUUCUUCGAUGUAGGGAGCCUGCCUGAAGUUGGUUACUAAAACCAAGCAGUGGGCCCUUCUAGAACCUGGGGUUUAGAUUAGGUUGGAACUGAUAAAGCCUUGACAUGAAGUCUCUUUCUUCUAAGACUACUCCCUCUUCGACUCUGAGAACAAACAUCCCACCUCCUACCAUCGUCUAUAUGGCAUCCUGUCUAAAAGCAGUGUCUAGUCAGAUGAGAAUUUAGCAAGUCAUUAUAUAUUUAAAUACUGCCAAAGAAACAUUUCAUUACAUCUGUCUUGCAGUUUUAGAGCAUAAGGAUAAUAUGUUUGCCAGAGUUGUUAGGAUGAUUAAACUCAUCAAAACCAUUCAGAAUAUAUCCAAUGGAUUAAUGCCAUUACACUUCUCACAGUAUAGUGUAUUUCUUUGUUUAAAAACUCCAUUCUUAUAAACUUUAUUAAAGUAUAAAUUGUAGAUAUCCACUGGAG